CUUGGAAGUUCUCUAUCGGCUAACCCUGCUGGAAUAAACAUUCCUUCAUUCUCCUCUAAAUUACUGAGAUGGGCCAGGCGUGGUUCCUGCCACCAUCUCCCCUUCUUCUUGUCCCUUGGAGCAGGUCCUGGGGCAGGUGCCUGUGAGGGAUCAGACGCUUCCCUCGCAGGGACAGGAUCGGGCUGUUCUAUACCAAUGCACCAGGCAAAGCCCUGCUAACUGGAAGGGGUGAACUGCAGCACCAAAAGCCAGCUGAGCGUAGGAAUACCCAGAACGCUGCCCUGCCCCAAAGAGCACCACAGCCCUGGGAGCUCCCAGCAGACGUCUGGGCUGGAAAAUGGACACCAGGACCGAGAAGCGGCCUGACGUUCCAGUCAGAGGCCGAAUCUGUCUUGAGAGGGAGGGAGAGAGAAACAGCUCGGGGCCUGCAGGAGACAGGCCUGAUGCGAUAGGCCUCCCUGAAUGCAAGCGUGACAGUGACAGCCGCUAGAGAGAGAUGGCCUUUGCCAACAGGUGGCCGAGCCUCCAUCACUUCUCCUGGGCACCGUGCGCCGCGUGCCAGCUCCUGCUCUGGCCACUCCUCGGAUGAGGACCGGGGGGAUCGGUGAGCUGAGGGCAGCAGGACCAGCUGCUCCCGUGGGUGAUACAGCACGGAGGAGCGGGCAGAGCUCUUGCUCUGUCAGCCAGGCCUCAGGAAGGCAGGAGCAAUAUCUCUUCUGCCCCCGGUGCCAGCUCUCCUCCCCGACACCCGGCUCCGUGGCAUGGCAGGGGGCAUCCGCUCCCCCUCGGGGGCUGGAAGCUCGCCCCUGGCAUCCCGGCGUGCUUGCCCUUGGAGCUGCAGCUUCUCCUGCUCAUUAACUCAUAAAUAAUAGGGACCAGCAGCAUUCAGCGCUAAUUAAUUUUGUGAACUGAACCAGGGUGAAUGGGGUAAUUGCCCAUGGCGUGUGCGGGCCGACAGGUGAGCCCUCCUGCUUUCACCCUCCUUGUUUACCAGCUUCUCCGUGUUUAUUUUAAGAAGCAUUUGGUCCCUCUCCGUGUGAAGAAGGAGAGCCAUGUGAUCCAGCCCAGAGAGAGCGCAGCAGGCGCUGAAUAUUAAAUUAAAACACAUCCUCGCUCAUACACCAAAAAAAAAAAAAAGAAAAAAAAAACAAGCUGGAAAGGUUAAGAGCUAACAGAGAUCCUCAGAACAGUCUCUGUCUGUUUGGAAUGAAUUAAUCAGACCAUUAAACAAAUCUUUUAAUCUAAA